rnacentral:rRNA from 1 species
CAGCCGCCACGGUAAUACGGAGGGUGCAAGCGUUAAUCGGAAUUACUGGGCGUAAAGCGUGCGUAGGUGGUGGUUUAAGUCCGUUGUGAAAGCCCUGGGCUCAACCUGGGAAUUGCAGUGGAUACUGGGUCACUAGAGUGUGGUAGAGGAUAGUGGAAUUUCCGGUGUAGCAGUGAAAUGCGUAGAGAUCGGAAGGAACAUCUGUGGCGAAGGCGACUAUCUGGGCCAACACUGACACUGAGGCACGAAAGCGUGGGGAGCAAACAGGAUUAGAUACCCGAGUAGUCCCUGUCUCUUAUAC